UGAAUACGAGAUGCUACGGCGUCGAAGCAGUCUAUGUCAUACUUCCAAGAAAAGCUUGCACUGUCAUAAACAAAUAAUGCCUGUACCAUAACCGACACAGGUGGGUAGGUAGAGUAUACUAAGGGGCGCGAGAUAACUCUCUCUAAGGAACUCGGCAAAAUGACUCCGUAACUUCGGGAGAAGGAGUGCCUUAUUUAUAAGGUUGCAAUAACAAGAUCCAAGCAACUGUUUACCAAAAACACAGGUCUCCGCUAAGUCGUAAGACGAUGUAUGGGGGCUGACGCCUGCCCAGUGCCAGAAGGUUAAAGAAGUUGGUUAGCAUCCGCGAAGCUGAUAACUGAAGCCCUGGUGAACGGCGGCCGUAACAAUAACGGUCCUAAGGUAGCGAAAUUCCUUGUCGGGUAAGUUCCGACCCGCACGAAAGGCGUAAUGAUUUGGAUACUGUCUCGGAGAGGGGCUCGGUGAAAUAGACUUGUCUGUGAAGAUGCGGACUACCUGCACCAGGACAGAAAGACCCUAUGAAGCUUUACUGUAACCUGAAGUUGAAAUUGGACUUUACUUGCGCAGUAUAGGUGGGAGGCGUUGAGAAUAUUCUUGCGGGAUUAUUGGAGCCAUCAGUGAGAUACCACUCUUGUAAUGUUAGAUUUCUAACUUUGUAUCAUUAUCUGGUCAAAGAACAGUUUCAGGCGGGCAGUUUGACUGGGGCGGUCGCCUCCUAAACGGUAACGGAGGCGCACAAAGGUUUCCUCUGAACGGGUAGAAAUCGUAUCUAGAGUGUAAAGGCAUAAGGAAGCUUGACUGUGAGACCUACAAGUCGAGCAGGGACGAAAGUCGGUCUUAGUGAUCUGACGGUGCUGAGUGGAAAGGCCGUCACUCAACGGAUAAAAGUUACUCUAGGAUAACAGGCUGAUCUCCCCCAAGAGUUCACAUCGACGGGGAGGUUUGGCACCUCGAUGUCGGCUCAUCGCAUCCUGGGGCGGUAGUACGUCCCAAGGGUUGGGCUGUUCGCCCAUGAAAGCGGUACGCGAGCUGGGUUCAGAACGUCGUGAGACAGUUCGGUCCAUAUCCGGUGUAGGCGUUAGAAUAUUGAGAGGAGCCUUCUUUAGUACGAGAGGACCGAGAAGGACAUACCUCUGGUGUACCAGUUAUCGUGCCAACGGUAAACGCUGGGUAGCUAUGUGUGGAGUGGAUAACCGCUGAAAGCAUCUAAGUGGGAAGCCCACCUCAAGAUAAGUAUUCGC
rnacentral:rRNA from 1 species